rnacentral:rRNA from 1 species
GACGAACGCUGGCGGCGUGCCUAAUACAUGCAAGUCGAACGCUGAAGAGAGGAGCUUGCUCUUCUUGGAUGAGUUGCGAACGGGUGAGUAACGCGUAGGUAACCUGCCUUGUAGAGGGGGAUAACUAUUGGAAACGAUAGCUAAUACCGCAUAACAAUGGAUGACACAUGUCAUUUAUUUGAAAGGGGCAAUUGCUCCACCACAAGAUGGACCUGCGUUGUAUUAGCUUGUAGGUGAGGUAAUGGCCCACCUAGGCGACGGUAAAUAGCCGACCCGAGAAGGGGAUCAGCCCACCUGGGAAGGGGACACGGCCCAGGACUCCACGGGAGGGAGACGGAGGGGAACUUCGGCAAGUGGGGCAACACUGACCGAGCAACGCCGCGUGAGUGAAGAAGGUUGUCGGAUCGGAAAGAUCUGUUGAAAGUCAAGAACGGGGGUGAGAGUGGAAAGUUCACACUGUGACGGUAGCUGACCAGAAAGCGACGGCUAACUACGUG